rnacentral:lncRNA from 1 species
ACCGCCACCACGCCCGGCUAAUUUUUGCAUUUUUUAGUAGAGAUUGGGUUUCACCAUGUGGGCCAGGCUGGUCUCGAACUCCUGAACUCAAGUGAUCUGCCCGCCUUGGCCACCCAAAAUGCUGGGAUUACAGGCGUGAGCCACUGCGCCCUGCCUGAAUCCAUUUUAACAUUGAGUUUUUCAGAUUAACUCGAAGUACCCCACAACUACACGCUAAUGAAACUAGAGGAGGCACAGCCUCAGCUCUGUGCAGGAUGGAUGCACAAGAGCAGAAUCUCCAUGGGACGCCUUUCUGGAGCAUCAGUAUUACUGCAGGAUUUGGAAGCAACAAGUUCAAAUAAUUUUCAACGUUAACACACUGGAAAUUUAAGAGAAGUCUGGAAACUCAUCUACCUUUAAAAACUGUCAGUCAUCUGUGCCUAAGUCAGACUUUCUCCAAGAAAAAAAAAAAAAGAAACUCUAAGGAGACCCUAUUUUUAAUUCUUCUAAGUAGUUAAAAUUAGAAAUCACAGCAAGUCAACAGGAAGCUCUCCUCUGCCAGUCUCCUAAAUCACAAUAUGGCCUUGUCAUGGCUGGAGUAUUUCAAAGGCUCAGUCCCACUCCAGAAUCGGCCCUGUCGCCCCCGCCCGCACUCCAGAGCCGGCUGAGAACCGCAGCGGCGCGGGAUCCACGUGCAGCGUCUCUCCGGGUCAAAGCUACCUAGAUGUCAUCAUACAAAUUACGGGCUAUGAUGUCCACCUCAUUCUCUUUCUGGAAGGCUGACCUUAACUGUCCUGCACAUUCCUUACACAGCAUAUUUGCCCUUCUCCUAUACUAAUAAGCCCUAAAUCUUGGGGGUAACAGCCUGGGGAACUACCUGUCUUGCUACCACUCAAGACCAUACUUCUGUCCACAAAUUCCCCCCAAUAAAUUAUCUUUUACUGACAAA